CCGGGCUCAGGGGGGGAAACCCCCCGAACUCCCAACCCUUGCUUACCUACCACGUUGCUUCGGCGGGUUCGCGCCCGCCGGAGGUCAAUCAAACUAUUUUUUCACCAACGUCGGAGCGAAUGCGAAAAUAAGUAA
rnacentral:misc_RNA from 1 species